CAGUAGCCACGGGAAUACAGAGGGUGCAAGCGUUAAUCGGAAUUACUGGGCGUAAAGCGCGCGUAGGUGGUUUGUUAAGUUGGAUGUGAAAUCCCCGGGCUCAACCUGGGAACUGCAUCCAAAACUGGCAAGCUAGAGUAUGGUAGAGGGUGGUGGAAUUUCCUGUGUAGCGGUGAAAUGCGUAGAUAUAGGAAGGAACACCAGUGGCGAAGGCGACCACCUGGACUGAUACUGACACUGAGGUGCGAAAGCGUGGGGAGCAAACAGGAUUAGAUACCCCGGUAGUCCCUGUCUCUUAUAC
rnacentral:rRNA from 1 species